rnacentral:tRNA from 1 species
UCCGGUUUGGCUCAGUUGGUAGAGCAACUGAUUUGUAAUCAGUGGGUCGGGAGUUCGAUUCUCUCAACCGGAA